rnacentral:rRNA from 1 species
GAUGAACGCUAGCUACAGGCUUAACACAUGCAAGUCGAGGGGAAACGACAUCGAAAGCUUGCUUUUGAUGGGCGUCGACCGGCGCACGGGUGAGUAACGCGUAUCCAACCUGCCCACCACUUGGGGAUAACCUUGCGAAAGUAAGACUAAUACCCGAUGAUAUCCCUAGAAGACAUCUGAAAGGGAUUAAAGAUUUAUCGGUGAUGGAUGGGGAUGCGUCUGAUUAGCUUGUUGGCGGGGUAACGGCCCACCAAGGCUACGAUCAGUAGGGGUUCUGAGAGGAAGGUCCCCCCACAUUGGAACUGAGACACGGUCCAAACUCCUACGGGAGGCAGCAGUGAGGAAUAUUGGUCAAUGGGCGAGAGCCUGAACCAGCCAAGUAGCGUGCAGGAUGACGGCCCUAUGGGUUGUAAACUGCUUUUAUAAGGGAAUAAAGUGAGUCUCGUGAGACUUUUUGCAUGUACCUUAUGAAUAAGGACCGGCUAAUUCCGUG